UACGUAGGGUGCAAGCGUUGUCCGGAAUUAUUGGGCGUAAAGAGCUCGUAGGCGGUUCGUCGCGUCGGCUGUGAAAUCCCGAGGCUCAACCUCGGGUCUGCAGUCGAUACGGGCGGACUAGAGUUCGGCAGGGGAGACUGGAAUUCCUGGUGUAGCGGUGAAAUGCGCAGAUAUCAGGAGGAACACCGGUGGCGAAGGCGGGUCUCUGGGCCGAUACUGACGCUGAGGAGCGAAAGCGUGGGGAGCGAACAGG
rnacentral:rRNA from 1 species